UAUCUCACUAAAUGAGG
rnacentral:rRNA from 1 species